rnacentral:rRNA from 1 species
UACAGAGGUCUCAAGCGUUGUUCGGAUUCAUUGGGCGUAAAGGGUGCGUAGGUGGCGGGGCAAGUUUGGUGUGAAAUCCCGGGCUCAACCCGGGAACUGCACUGAAUACUGCCUUGCUUGAGCACUGGAGAGGGAACUGGAAUUACGGUGUAGCAGUGAAAUGCGUAGAUAUCGUAAGGAAGACCAGUGGCGAAGGCGAGUUCCUGGACAG